AGCACCUGGGGAUUUUGUUAAAAUGCAUAUUCUAGUUCAGCGGGUCAGGGGUGGGGCCUGAGAUUCUGCAUUUCUAACAGGCUCCUGGGUGAUGAUGA
rnacentral:pre_miRNA from 1 species